AUGAUCGAAAAUAAUAAAGGAGAAAAAACGAAUGUGGAUCUCAACACCGUGUCGCCAAGGAAGAGGCCUUGGUUCGAGAAGAUGCAGGCCGACAUGCUCAAGUUCGAUGACGAAUCAUAUGGCCAGGCGGUGCCAGGGCUGCCGGGCGCAUUAUGCCCUGCUAGCAGAGAAGCGGAGGAGGCAGCCGGGGGCCAUGGGUUCCGGCCGCGUCGGCCGACUGAUGGCGGGCGCGAAGUCGUCGGUUCUGCUGACGUGAAGCCGUGGGACGACGAGACCGACAUGGCCAAGCUCGAGGAAGCCGUGCGAGGCGUCGCCAUGGAAGGAUUGACAUGGGGGGAGCAUGCAUCCAAGCUUGUUCCGGUUGGGUACGGGAUGAGCAAGAUGCAGAUCAUGCUGACGAUCGUCGACGAUCUCCUGUCCGUCGACGACCUCAUCGAGGACCAUCUCUGUGCUGAGCCCGUCGACGAGUUCGUGCAGAGCUGCGACAUUGCCAGCUUCAACAAAAUAUGUACUCCCUCUGUUUCUUUUUAG
rnacentral:rRNA from 1 species